CCCACCACCACCAGCAUUAGUGCUGUCUAGUUGUGUUCAAUGUUUGAGCCUCGUAGCUCGAUGCCUUAUUAAGGAUGUGGAAAAGAGUUGGAAAUGAAGAGACUAAUAAAAUAGAGAAUAGGGGUUCUUGCAGGUAUCCAUCAAUCCCGAAACGACAGCCCCCGCAAGAGAAUAGAAUAAGCAGCUAUUUCAUCUUCUUUUUGUGUGAUUUGAUUCUCCUGAUCCAGG
rnacentral:lncRNA from 1 species